AAACCUGAGAAACCCAAAAGAUCGAAUGGGGAGAUUCAUCGUCAGCGAUCUCGGCGCGUGGGCGGUUCGCGAUGUCGAGAGGUCUCGGCCUCGCGGCACGCGUCCGCGUUGCCUCGCCGGGUGUCGUCGGCAUGCACUUCUACCCUAGUAGGACGUCGCAACCCGUUGGGUGCCGGUCUACGGCCCGGGUGGGCGCCUGUCGCGCGUAACGCUUCGUGGCGUCGCGCGGCAGCCCACCGGUCACCCGACCAGAUGCCCGGCGGUACUCGUACGGUAUCGAGCCGCAAAUAUUCGAACUGCGUCCGGCCCGCUGCAAGCUUGGCCAGUGUGUACCCGGAUGUACGGACCUAGCGCCGUCACCGGGCCUGCCGGCUGUUGGCCGGCGGUGUCCUGAGACCGGCUCUAAUUUACCGGUCAGCGACGCUACUGCUUUGGGUACUUUCAGGACCCGUCUUGAAACACGGACCAAGGAGUCUAACAUGUGCGCGAGUCAUUGGGAUCUCGAAGCCUAAAGGCGCAAUGAAAGUGAAGGUCGGCAUCGCGCCGACAGAGGGAGGAUGGUCUGCGUUACGAUGCGGUCCCGCACUCCCGGGGCGUCUCGUUCUCAU
rnacentral:rRNA from 1 species